AUUUUUGCCGCCGUUUUCGGUGACGCCAGGUCGGACGGUCCCGUCCGCGACGUGAAAAGGGAAUCCAGUGAAAGACUGGAACAGUGCCCGCUACUGUAACACCCCACCUAUCGAACGAAGGAGAGCACCCGCAAGACGUGCCACUGCCGCCACUGAGGCGGUGGGAAGGCCCACAGCCCUCCUUCAGGGUGAAGUCAGGAAACCUGCCGGAAACAACAACGUAUA
rnacentral:ncRNA from 2 species